CCUCGGACUGGGCCCCACGGCACUUAACUAGCCUCAGACAGUGAUGGCUGACAGCCAUCCAUACAAUCACGAUGCGUUCUCUGAAUAAUUUCCGGUGUCACUGAGUACUUUGUGAAUAAUGGGCAGAUUAUUUAACGUCCGUGCUUGGCAUAGAGUAAGAAUGGUGCCAGCACUAGCUAGGAGAGCGUGUCAGUGAGCCCCAUAACUGGGUUUUGCUCACAGUCUGCUGCACUCGGUCUCUAGGAUAUAACACGGUUGUUGUGUGUGAUGCUGCCUGCUGAUGAAGCCCUAGGGAUGCUUCUCCCUGCAGGCCUUAGGAUAUUUCAAGGGCAUCAGGUUCUAAGUGGCACCCCGGUGGCCUGAAAGAUAUAACACCCGUUAAAAAAAAAAGUCCAGUGUUUAGUCAUGAGAUAGGUUCCCUGGGAAAUGACUGGAAUCAUAAUUUAGGAAAUGGCAUUAAGAAAUAGCAGUUGAUCCACACGAUAAAGUGUUUUAACAGCCACUAAAGCAUGAUCAGGGAGACACAAGUAAGAGAAUUAAAAAAUUAUUUCGUCCCUUCCAGAAAAAACCAUAAAGUCAAGGCCCUAGUGGAUCGUCUUUAAGAAAUGGCCGCUUGACAGAGCCUCAUGCUGUUUUAAGGAGAAACUAGACUGUGUGGGAAGGGCUGGGAACACACGAGAAGAGCUGAGCUGCUGAGAACCAGCUGUCAGAGGGAAACGCCAAGGAGGUACAUUACACACAAGAAAAACUGAGACAACCACGAGAGCUUUAGGAACUCGAUGCCAAUGGCUGUCUUCAAACGUCCCCUUCCCCAGUUCCAAAUGGAAGACAUGUUGAAACUAAUGAGGGGCUUUUUUCCCCCCUUUCAAAAUCAUGUGCAUGGAAAAUUGUAAUGCUUCCCAGAAAUAAAUCGAGUUGUUGAAACAGAACAUGAUACUAAAGGACCCUAUUGUACCGAGCUCGUGUGCUAAGGAGCCCGAUUGUGUUUUGCAGUCUGGGUCAACACACGGGGACAAAAUGAGUGUGAAGUGCUCUUUCACAGGCAAUCUUCUGCACACAAAACACGCACCUCUUCUCCUCCUCAUGUGAUGGGAAGGUCAUGUGGACAAUGAGAACACAACUCCUUUGUUACCCUUCAGACAACAGAUGCCGGGGCUUCUCUUCAGAGGCCUGGGUUAGAAAUGGAUGCAGAGAGGAGAGGGAGCGGGGGGCGCACCUCGCCUGCGUUCAGUGGGGUAUUUGCUGCCUUUAAUGGACCGUGUUUGAGUCCGUGCUGUGAUAACUUCAAACAAAAUAAAAUCAAAUCUCCAUUUAAUGAAGAGCCUCAUACUCAGUUUGUAUUCAAUCAAAAAAUUACUAAAAUUAGAGCAUGUUUCUAGUUCAAUUAACGUCCUCUGCACUCACAAUCAAAUAUUCAAUAACUGGCCAUUUUGCCUGUUGAGGAGGGGAAUAAAAGCAGAGCCCACCGUCCGUUAGCUGUUAUUUAUUUGCCUCUUUAUGUUAAGCAGACAGUUAGAGUGAAACUGCACAUAUUACUACUGAUUUAGGUUUCAUUUAAUCCUUUGAAACAGAAUAAUUAUUCCCAAUUUAUAUGCCAUUAAAUCUUUUAUGCACACGAGCAGCAAAUUCAAUUUCUGCUUAAGUGUAGAGUUUGUGAUGCUCUUUAAAGGGCCCUCAAAACUGACAAUUGUUUCUGAGGGGUCCUCAAUCCUGUUGCAUCUUGCUUUUCUUAUCAAUGGCUUUUAAGGAAAUAAAGUGCAACAAAUCCAAAAAGAUUAGAAAUUCACUUUUGCAGGUAUGAAAUAAAAUGUUUCCAUAGACACACUUUGUGGCAAUUACUGGUAACCCAUAAAUCUUCAUUUAAUGGAGGCAUUUAUUUUACUUAAAUAAUUAAAGGUUUUCAUCAAAAAUCAAUAGCUUAAUGAACUGAAGGUACAACCUAUCUACAGAAACACACUAAAAUGAAGGGGGCUAAUUGUUAUUUAGUGAACUUUGCUUACGGCAAUUACAUCAUUUGGAUAAUUCAAACUCAAAUUCCUUCCUUCCUUUUAACAAUAGAUUUGUGGCUUCUUGUUCUUGUUAUUGAUGUUGUUUUGUUUUGUUGAGACAGAAACUCUUCAUAUAGCCCUAGCUGUCAUCCGAGCGAGCACUCAUUCUGUAGACCAAGCCUGUGUCUGCCUCCUGGGUGCUGGGCUUAAAGGCAUGCACUGGAGUUCAAUAACACAUUUGCAGCUGUUAUGACCCCACUUCAAUUCAAGGAUAAUCUGGGAGCAAAGGGAAGUAAGUUAUCUAAAGCGCUCACACUAGAGAUUACGAUGUAACAAGUCUACCUUCUCAAGUCUACUGAGAUGACAGUUAUGCAGGACAAAGGCUACAUCAUCACAAGGAAUGCUAUGUUGCUAUAGUAGCCUUGAAUUCCACUGAGGAAAGGCAUUCUCCUUCUGGUCAAAGGAAUGGAGUCUACUGCCAGUCUAGGUAUGAACCUACCAUUCCAAGCUACUCAAAACUCAAGAGUCAAUCCAGGUGGGUCAGUCAGUCCUCUGGCUAAGGAACCACCCCUCAGGGAGGUGGAAUGAUUAUUGUCUUAUUGAGAUAAUGUACCUUCCAGAACUCUCCAUGUCACUGCGGUAACUACAGGUCUGCUGGGGCUCUGUUAAGUCUGUCCACACUUCUGAGCCCUGACUCACAAAGGUGGAAUUCCCAGUCCCUCUGGUUAUUUUGUUGCUUUGUUUGUUUUUGUUUUUCCUUUCUAUCUCUCUCUUUUUUUCACCUAUUGGCAAGAGGAUAAGUAUUUUUUCUCUGGUACUUUGGGCUUUCCCCACUUUUUCUCUGAAGUCCCCCUUUUCCCUAUAGCUGCUCAUGAACCUCUCUGUCUAACCCCAAAAGGUGCAGUCUUUUUCUCUUUACUACUCCUAUUUAUGGACUUUUGUUUCAUGUGUAUGGAUGUUUUGUCUGUCUGUAUGUACAUGUAACACUUGCAUGCAGGGCCCUUAGAGGUCAGAAGAAGACAUCAGAUCCCUUGGAACUGGAGUUACAAAGGAUCAUUGAGGCACCAUGUCCCCUCCUGGGAACCCAACCUCAGGUCCUCUGCGACAGCAGCAAGUGCUCUCCGUCACGGAGCCAUCUCUCCAGGCCCUCUCUUCAUAUUGGUUGAAACACAUCUGAUUUAGGACUCAUAAGCGGCCUGAGCAAUCGAAUGAGGCUUUAUUGAGGAAAUCAAAUGGCUGCUUGAGAGCGGAUUCUGUUUCCAGCUUCCAAGGGCUUCUGACAAACAAGCCGGAACAAAGCCAAAUGGUUAAUUGUGA